rnacentral:rRNA from 1 species
GACGAACGCUGGCGGCGUGCUUAACACAUGCAAGUCGAACGGAAAGGCCCUUCGGGGUACUCGAGUGGCGAACGGGUGAGUAACACGUGGGUGAUCUGCCCUGCACUUUGGGAUAAGCCUGGGAAACUGGGUCUAAUACCGGAUAGGACCACGCGCUUCAUGGUGUGUGGUGGAAAGCUUUUGCGGUGUGGGAUGGGCCCGCGGCCUAUCAGCUUGUUGGGGGGGUAAUGGCCUACCAAGGCGACGACGGGUAGCCGGCCUGAGAGGGUGACCGGCCACACUGGGACUGAGAUACGGCCCAGACUCCUACGGGAGGCAGCAGUGGGGAAUAUUGCACAAUGGGCGCAAGCCUGAUGCAGCGACGCCGCGUGAGGGAUGACGGCCUUCGGGUUGUAAACCUCUUUCGCCAGGGACGAAGCGCAAGUGACGGUACCUGGAGAAGAAGGACCGGCCAACUACGUGCCAGCAGCCGCCGUAA